CCCAGACUCCUACGGGAGGCAGCAGUGGGGAAUAUUGCACAAUGGGGGGAACCCUGAUGCAGCGACGCCGCGUGGGUGAAGGAGUACUUCGGUACGUAAAGCCCUGUCAGCAGGAAAGAAAAUGACGGUACCUGACUAAGAAGCCCCGGCUAACUACGUGCCAGCAGCCGCGGUAAUACGUAGGGGGCGAGCGUUAUCCGGAUUCACUGGGUGUAAAGGGAGCGUAGACGGCCAUGCAAGCCAGGGGUGAAAGCCCGGGGCCCAACCCCGGGACUGCCCUUGGAACUGCAUGGCUGGAGUGCGGGAGGGGCAGGCGGAAUUCCUGGUGUAGCGGUGAAAUGCGUAGAUAUUAGGAGGAACACCAGUGGCGAAGGCGGCCUGCUGGACUGCAACUGACGUUGAGGCUCGAAGGCGUGGGGAGCAAACAGGAUUAGAUACCCUCGUAU
rnacentral:rRNA from 1 species